UGUGAGAGCGAGCUUGCUCGCGAUGGCGGUGGCAUGUUCAACAACUAUGCAACUGACACUCCGCUAUCGCGAGCAAGCUCGCUCCCACA
rnacentral:antisense_RNA from 1 species